AGAUGAGGAUGAUGAUUUGAACGUUUCCCUAUUGGUUUGAUUGCCGAAAUAACGGCGACACCAUGUAUCAGCUUUAUCUGACUCAUCU